CUCGAUGGACUUUUGUUGACAAACAGCGCCACACGACUCACACACGAAGUGUUGACCACACUUAUGGCUGAGGUCAUGGCCAUCAUGAACUCUCGACCUUUGACCCCCAUAUUGUCCGACACAGAGGUUCCUCAAGUCCUCUCACCUGCGAUGCUACUGACCCAGAAAGCAAGCAUCGCUCCUGCCCCUCCGGGCGACUUCAAAAUGGAUCAUCUGCACAAAAGUCAGUGGCGACAAGUCCAGAACAUGGCGGACUCUUUCUGGAAAAGAUGGAGACAGGAAUAUCUAACAACUCUACAGCCUCGAAGGAAAUGGACAGAGAACAGGCCGAACCUUCAGGAAGGUGACGUCGUCCUGCUCAAAGACUGUCAGGUGAAACGCAAAGAGUGGCCAGUAGGACUUAUCACAAAAGCCAUACCGAGCAGCGACAACAGAGUUCGUAAGGUCAUGGUCAAGACUGUAAAUCAAGGGACUGUAAAAGAAUAUCUGAGACCCAUUAACGAUGUUGUUUUGCUGCUUUCCCGGGAUAAUGUAGUAAUGUAGUGGUAUAAUAUUAAUCAUACCAGACGGGGAGUGUUCUGACUUAAUUUACUGAGUUUGCUCUCUUUAUUGUUUAUGCUUGUCCAGGAAAGACACCUGCUGGUGUAUUUUGGUAUCGCACCUUAAGUGCCUUUGUUUUGCUCCGCCAAAAUCCAGUUCUAACCUGUUCAAAGAGCUGUAUGGAUCGAAGCAGUUUCUAGCGGUCAGAUCCUUGGAGUAAAUACGUCCUUUUACCACACUGAAAAGAGAGAAAAGAAGAGCAACAGAGUUAUCUAAAGAAUGAACAUCUGAAAGUAAAGUUCAUCAACAAAACAUU